AGCUUUAUAGUCAAUUAUGACAUUAGACUGCAAUUCUAAAGGAGUAUUUUUAAUACUAAGGCUU
rnacentral:tRNA from 1 species